CUUCUUUUGGUUUUCGUCAUUCCUUGAUGCGACAAAUGUAAUUUAGCAAGGAUGUCUUUUUGGCACGCUUUAGGGACGACAAUUCCUGUUCCUUUCAAUACCAAACCGUCCUCAACAGCUAAGUCUUUGAUCAUGUUCUUAAAUAAUUUUAGGUAAUGAUUUUCUACUCUUCCUUUUUCUUUCAGACCACAUUCCACGAAUUCUACGAGUGCUCGAUAGUCUCAUCCGCUUUUCCUAUAUUUCGUAUCUCUUCAAUGAUUGGAUCUACGAAACCAAUAUUUCGGAUUUUAUUCUGAUCAUCUACUGGAGCUCGUGACAAAGCAUCUGCAAUAAUAUGGUCUUUUCCUGUCUUCCAUGAUACUUUGAACUCGUAAUGUUGAAGGCACAUUCUAAUCUUCAGUACUUUGGCGUUUUCGAUUUGGUUUAAAGAAUAGUUAUUGAAUAUAGUGGAGAGAGAAGGAUGAUCGGUUAUUACUUCGAAGUGCAGUAGUCCACUAAGUGAUAAAUCUCGAACCACAUUCAAUUAGUUUCCAUCUUUCUCCAUGCUGUUGUAUUAAAUUGAAUCCAAGACCUUUGGUUCUUGAUGCGUCUGUCUCUAAACAUGUUUCUCUCAACGGAUCAAAAAGUGCUAGGAUUGGUGGCUUAAGUAAAAUAUCUUUAAUAUUGUCAAUCGCAUGUGAGUGAACUAACUCCCAUUUGAAUUCAUACUUUGUCUUCAACAAGUCUCUCAAUUGUUCGGCCACUUUGCUCAAUUUUGAGGAGUGGGAAAUUUG
rnacentral:lncRNA from 1 species